rnacentral:rRNA from 1 species
GCUCAGUAACACGUGGUUAAUCUGAUGAGGGGGAGGAUACUCCCGGGAAACUGGGGCUAAUACUCCAUAGGURAMASRAACUGGAAUGUUGUGUCUCCGAAAGAUCCGUCGCCUUAGGAUGAGACUGCGUCCGAUUAGGUAGUUGGUCGGGUAACGGCCCACCAAGCCAGUCAUCGGUACGGGUUGUGGGAGCAAGAUCCCGGAGAUGGAUUCUGAGACAUGAAUCCAGGCCCUACGGGGCGCAGCAGGCGCGCAAACUUUACAAUGCGAGCAAUCGUGAUAAGGAAACCCUGAGUGCCUGUUGAUGCAGGCUGUUCAUCUGUUUAAAUUGCAGGUGAAGAAAGGGCAGGGCAAGACCGGUGCCAGCCGCCGCGGUAAUACCGGCUGCUCGAGUGAUGGCCACUAUUACUGGGUUUAAAGCGUCCGUAGCUUGAUUGUUAGGUCUCUUGGGAAAUCUUCUAGCUUAACUAGAAGGCGUCUAAGAGAUACCGGCAAUCUUGGAACUGGGAGAGGUAAACCGUACUUCAGGGGUAGGAGUGAAAUCUUGUAAUCCUUGAGGGACGACCUAUGGCGAAGGCAGUUUACCAGAACAGCUUCGACAGUGAGGGACGAAAGCUGGGGGAGCAAACGGGAUUAGAUACCCCGGUAGUCCCAGCCGUAAACAAUGUACGUUAGAUGUAUCGGCAACCACGCGUUACUGAUGCGUCGCAGAGAAAUCGUGAAACGUACCACCUGGGAAGUAUGGUCGCAAGG